GUCAGCGACUUAUAUUUUGUAGCAAGGUUAACCGUAUAGGGGAGCCGUAGGGAAACCGAGUCUUAACUGGGCGAAUAGUUGCAAGGUAUAGACCCGAAACCCGGUGAUCUAGCCAUGGGCAGGUUGAAGGUUGGGUAACACUAACUGGAGGACCGAACCGACUAAUGUUGAAAAAUUAGCGGAUGACUUGUGGCUGGGGGUGAAAGGCCAAUCAAACCGG
rnacentral:rRNA from 1 species